GUGGGGAAUCUUCCGCAAUGGACGAAAGUCUGACGGAGCAACGCCGCGUGAGUGAAGAAGGUUUUCGGAUCGUAAAGCUCUUUCGUUAGGGACGAACGUGCUCUUUGUGAAUAAUGAGGAGUAAUGACGGUACCUAAAUAAGAAGCCACGGCUAACUACGUGCCAGCAGCCGCGGUAAUACGUAGGUGGCAAGCGUUGUCCGGAAUUAUUGGGCGUAAAGCGCGCGCAGGCGGGAUAUCAAGUCUGUCUUAAAAGUGCGAGGCUCAACCUCGUGAGGGGACAGAAACUGGUAUUCAUGAGUGUCGGAGAGGAAAGUGGAAUUCCAAGUGUAGCGGUGAAAUGCGUAGAGAUUUGGAAGAACACCAGUGGCGAAGGCGACUUUCUGGACGAUGUCUGACGCUGAGGCGCGAAAGCUAGGGGAGCGAACGGGAUUAGAUACCCCAGUAGUCC
rnacentral:rRNA from 1 species